rnacentral:rRNA from 1 species
UGGGGAAUUUUGGACAAUGGGCGCAAGCCUGAUCCAGCCAUGCCGCGUGCAGGAUGAAGGCCCUCGGGUUGUAAACUGCUUUUGUACGGAACGAAAAGCCUCUUUCUAAUAAAGAGGGGUGAUGACGGUACCGUAAGAAUAAGCACCGGCUAACUACGUGCCAGCAGCCGCGGUAAUACGUAGGGUGCGAGCGUUAAUCGGAAUUACUGGGCGUAAAGCGUGCGCAGGCGGUCCUGCAAGACAGUGGUGAAAUCCCCGGGCUCAACCUGGGAACUGCCAUUGUGACUGCAAGGCUGGAGUACGGCAGAGGGGGAUGGAAUUCCGCGUGUAGCAGUGAAAUGCGUAGAUAUGCGGAGGAACACCGAUGGCGAAGGCAGUCCCCUGGGCCUGUACUGACGCUCAUGCACGAAAGCGUGGGGAGCAAACA